rnacentral:rRNA from 1 species
UACAGAGGGUGCGAGCGUUAAUCGGAAUUACUGGGCGUAAAGCGCGCGUAGGCGGCUUUGCAAGUCGGGUGUGAAAUCCCCAGGCUUAACCUGGGAACUGCAUUCGAGACUGCAUUGCUAGAGUAUGGGAGAGGGAAGUGGAAUUUCCGGUGUAGCGGUGAAAUGCGUAGAUAUCCGGAGGAACACCGGUGGCGAAGGCGGCUUCCUGGACCGACACUGACGCUGAGGCGCGAAAGCGUGGGUAGCAAACAGG